UACAGAGGGUGCAAACGUUGCUCGGAAUUACUGGGCGUAAAGGGCGCGUAGGCGGCUUUGCAAGUCAGAUGUGAAAGCCCCGGGCUCAACCUGGGAAUGGCAUUUGGGACUGCAAGGCUUGAGUGCGGCAGAGGAGACUGGAAUUCCUGGUGUAGCAGUGAAAUGCGUAGAUAUCAGGAGGAAUACCGAUGGCGAAGGCAGGUCUCUGGGCUGACACUGACGCUCAUGCACGAAAGCGUGGGGAGCAAACAGG
rnacentral:rRNA from 1 species